UUUGUCGAGAGUUUGAUCCUGGCUCAGGGUGAACGCUGGCGGCGUGUCUAAGGCAUGCAAGUCGAGCGGUUCGAUUGAUCCGCAAGGUGACAUCGAACAGCGGCAAACGGGUGCGUAACACCUUGGUAACCUACCCCGGAGACGGGCACAACCUUCCGAAAGGGAGGCUAAUUCCCGAUGAUGUUCGCGAUCAUAUGAUGUGCGAAUAAAAUGGCCCGCAAGGGCUGCUCUGGGAGGGGCCUAGGUCCUAUCAGGUCGUUGGUGGGGUAAUGGCCUACCAAGCCGAAGACGGGUAGCUGGUCUGAGAGGACGACCAGCCUCAGGGACACUGCGACACUGGUCCCACACCUACGGGUGGCUGCAGUCAAGAAUAUGCCUCAAUGGACGAAAGUCUGAAGGAGCGACGCCGCGUGCCAGAUGAAGCCCUUCGGGGUGUAAAUGGCUUUUCCCAGGGACGAAUGCAUGACGGUACCUGGGGAAUAAGGGGCCGCCAAUCUCGUGCCAGCAGCGGCGGUAAGACGAGAGCCCCAAGCGUUACCCGGAUUCACUGGGCGUAAAGCGUCCGCAGGCGGUCCAAUGCAUCUCCCGUUAAAUCCCGGGGCUCAACCCCGGAACCGCGGGAGAGAUGAUUGGACUUGAGGUUGGGAGGGGUGAGUGGAACUGCCGGUGUAGUAGUAAAAUGCGUUCAUAUCGGCAGGAACACCAAAGGCGAAGGCAGCUCACUAGAACAAUCCUGACGCUCAGGGACGAAAGCGUGGGUAGCGAAUGAGAUUAGAUACCUCAGUAGUCCACGCCCUAAACGAUGAGUGCUAGGCGUCGGGAGUAUCGACCCUCUCGGUGCCUUUACCGAAGCUAACGCAUUAAGCACUCCGCCUGGGAAGUACGGCCGCAAGGCUAAAACUCAAAGGAAUAGACGGGGACCCGCACAAGCGGUGGACCAUGUGGUUUAAUUCGAUACUAAGCGAGGAACCUCACCUGGGUUUGACAUGCUCCUGCAAGCGCACGGAAACGUGUGACCUUCGAGGGUGGAGUACAGGUGCUGCAUGGCUGUCGUCAGCUCGUGCUGUGAAGUGUUCCCUUCAGUGGGGUAACGAGCGCAACCCUCGUCCUGUGUUUCAACAACCACAGGAGACUGCCCCGGCAACGGGGAGGAAGGCGAGGAUGACGUCAAGUCAGCAUGGCCCUUAUGCCCAGGGCGACACACGUGGUACAAUGGUCGGGACAAUGGGACGCGAAGCCGCGAGGUGGAGCAAAUCCCGCAAACCCGACCUCAGUACGGAUCGGAGGCUGCAACCCGCCUCCGUGAAGCUGGAAUCGCUAGUAACCGCGCAUCAGCCACGGCGCGGUGAAUACGUUCUCGGGUCUUGUACUCACCGCCCGUCACGUCAAGCGAGUUGGGAAUUCCUGAAGGCCCCCGAUCGGGGGUCCAAGGAAAGCCUGAUGAGAGGGACGAAGUCGUAACAAGGCAGGGGUAGCGGAAGCUGUUCCUGGAUCACCUCCUUU
rnacentral:rRNA from 1 species